AAUUAAGCAUAUAAAGUAUUUCUGAUAGGGGUGCACUUGGGGAGGAAUUCUACACUGUCACACUUACACCACGUCAUCAAUAACAAGCCAAUCGCAUUUCAUCUUUUCAAACAAAAAUAUAAUAAAAAUACUUUUUUACAAUCAUGAUAGAACAUAUAUUCUCAAAAAAAUUAAUUUGAUUAAUUUAUUACGUCACGUCACUAAUAUAUCCGUUGUUUUUUAGAAUUUUUCGCACUUGAGUAUUCAU
rnacentral:lncRNA from 1 species